GUGGCGACCGGCGCACGGGUGCGUAACGCGUAUGCAACCUACCUUUAACAGGGGCAUAACACUGAGAAAUUGGUACUAAUUCCCCAUAACAUUCGAGAAGGCAUCUUCUUGGGUUAAAAACUCCGGUGGUUAAAGAUGGGCAUGCGUUGUAUUAGCUAGUUGGUGAGGUAACGGCUCACCAAGGCAACGAUACAUAGGGGGACUGAGAGGUUAACCCCCCACAUUGGUACUGAGACACGGACCAA
rnacentral:rRNA from 1 species